rnacentral:lncRNA from 1 species
UUCCCUUCUCUGAGCCAGGCACCCUUAGUUCUUUCAGCUGUUCCUCACAUAACACAUAGCAGGGUUUCAAAAUUUGCUCCAGACCUGAUUCGAAGCUGUUCUGAAUUUGUGUGCAGACAGUGCAUGAGUCAAGAGCAAGUCGAAGAUGAAGCCAGAACACAGCAUGUUGGAAUGCAGAUGGGAAGGUGAGCAAGCUUGGACCAUGAAGACAAAGGCAACACCCGAGAGAUGGAGCAGCUUCAAGUUGAAGGGAGCCUGAGGCCGUGGCUCGCCUCUGUAGUCCCAGCACUUUGGAAGGCCAAGGUGGGACUCAUUUCUCAUCUACAAGUAAGAAGGCAGUAACCCACAGAUCAAGACUGCCAACCAGAUGGACACACGAAAUGCUGCUACACACUCUCCUACACGUCAGUAAAUUCCUUGCAUCCAAUGACUCCAUGUGCUUCAGUGACGGACCAUGAGUGAGCCUGACCAGGCUGGAGAUGCCACCACGCAGGUUACUUCCUCCACUCAGCCCCAACUGACAAAGGACACAUUUUUAUCCCAGCAAAACUUCUGUUUUUCUUUUUCCAAGAAAACAGAAAAGUCGCCGGGCACGGUGGCUUACGCCUGUAAUCCCAGCACUUUGGGAGGCCGAGGCAGGAGAAUCGCUUGAGCCCGGGAGUUUGAGACCAGCCUGGGCAACAUGGUGAAACCAAGUCUCUACAAAAAAAUACAAAAAAAUUAGCCAGGUGUCGUGGUGCACGUCUGUAGUCCCAGCCACUCCUGGGAGGUCGAGGCUGCAGUGAGCUGUGAUCGUGCCACUGCACU